rnacentral:rRNA from 1 species
CAUUUAGAGGAAGUAAAAGUCGUAACAAGGUUUCCGUAGGUGAACCUGCGGAAGGAUCAUUACAGUAUUCUUUUGCCCGCGCUUAAAUGCGCGGCGAAAAACCUUACACCCUAUGUUUUUUUAAAUUGAAACUAUUGCUUUGGUCUGGCUUAGAAAAAGGUUGGGCCCAAGGUUUUAUCAAAACUUCAAAAUUUAUUAUUGAAAUGUUAUUUUUAAAUUUAUGUCAAAUUGUUGAUUAAAAUCAAAAAACUUCAAAACUUUCAACAACGGAUCUCUUGGUUCUCGCAUCGAUGAAGAACGCAGCGAAAAGCGAUAAGUAAAAUGAAAUGCAGAUUUUCGUGAAACAUCGAAUCUUUGAACGCACAUUGCGCCCUUUGGUAUUCCCAAGGGCAUGCCUGUUUGAGCGUCAUUUCUCUCUCAAAACUUCGGAUUUGGUUUUGAGUGAUACUCUUAGUCAGACUAAGCGUUUGCUUGAAAAGUAUUGGCAUGAGUGGUUCUAGAUAGUGCUGAACUGUUUUCAAAGUAUUAGGUUUAUCCCACUCAUUGACCCGUAAAGUAUUUGUUUAUUACACAGGCUCGGCCUUACAACAACAAACAAAGUUUGACCUCAAAACAGGUAGGGCU